CUGAAAAAGAAAGUAGGUAUGCAUUUGAAGUGCUACCUAGCGGUUUAAGGUUAGAGAAUCGGGAACGAUGCUCACAAUAAGAUAGUCCAGAGUGUUCUGAACCGUUCAAACCCUACAGAGCAUUAUACGACUUUUCUAACUGAAAUGCAGGAAAAAAACUCACUUGUUAAAGAAGGGGCUUGAAUCCACUGUGGGGUCAACUGCAUUGAAUGUGUGAACUAACCGAAUUGAGAUCAGGGCACACAACACUACAAUAAAACAACACUUUCCUCCAAGAAAGGGAACAGUGGCCGUGAUAUAAACUGCUUGCUCAAGAACAAUUCUCAACAUCAUUCCUACACGCUCUCUCUAUAGAGGCAAGGAAAACACCCUGGACACAUUGAGCAACCUUUCUGUACAGGCUUUGCCCCAUUAAGUAAGUGUCUGUGUCAAUCUCCCACGGCCUUUCCUUAAUCAAGUAAUAAGACUUUUUUUACGGGUCAGAUCCUCGAGGACCUCCUAUCAACAGUGCUCUUGGAACUGAGAGCGUCUCUGCCCAUCCAGGCCACCGAUGUUGCCACUUAUUUUUUCUAUCUGCUUAACCAAACACUUUCACCCUUCUUCAAUGUUAUGUAUGAACUUAUGUACACACAUUUCAGGGUUUUUUU